AGUGAACGCUGGCGGUAGGCCUAACACAUGCAAGUCGAACGGCAGCACAGGGGAGCUUGCUCUCUGGGUGGCGAGUGGCGGACGGGUGAGGAAUACAUCGGAAUCUACUUUUUCGUGGGGGAUAACGUAGGGAAACUUACGCUAAUCCCGCAUACGACCUACGGGUGAAAGCAGGGGACCUUCGGGCCUUGCGCGAUUGAAUGAGCCGAUGUCGGAUUAGCCAGUUGGCGGGGGAAAGGCCCACCAAGGCGACGAUCCGUAGCUGGCCUGAGAGGAUGAUCAGCCACACUGGAACGGGGACACGGUCCAGACUCCUACGGGAGGCAGCAGUGGGGAAUAUUGGACAAUGGGCGCAGGCCUGAUCCAGCCAUACCGCGUGGGUGAAGAAGGCCUUCGGGUUGUAAAGCCCUUUUGUUGGGAAAGAAAUCCAGCUGGCUAAUACCCGGUUGGGAUGACGGUACCCAAAGAAUAAGCACCGGCUAACUUCGUGCCAGCCGCCGCCGUAA
rnacentral:rRNA from 1 species